CUCAAGGAAGCGCUUUGUCCACGUGGACACAAAGCGCACUCUCAAGGACGUGUUUUCUGUCCAUGUGGACAAAGCGCUUCCUUGAGG
rfam:Gossypium hirsutum cultivar TM-1 chromosome 20, whole genome shotgun sequence